GACGAACGCUGGCGGCGUGCUUAACACAUGCAAGUCGAACGGUGACGAAGAGCUUGCUCUUCUGAUCAGUGGCGAACGGGUGAGUUACACGUGAGCAACCUACCCUUGACACUGGGAUAACAGUUGGAAACAGCUGCUAAUACCGGAUAUGAACCUCACAGGCAUCUGAGAGGUUGGAAAGCUCCGACGGUCAAGGAUGGGCUCGCGGCCUAUCAGCUUGUUGGUGAGGUAACGGCUCACCAAGGCGACGACGGGUAGCCGGCCUGAGAGGGCGACCGGCCACACUGGGACUGAGAUACGGCCCAGACUCCUACGGGAGGCAGCAGUGGGGAAUAUUGCGCAAUGGGCGAAAGCCUGACGCAGCAACGCCGCGUGCGGGAUGACGGCCUUCGGGUUGUAAACCGCUUUCAGCAGGGACGAAACUGACGGUACCUGCAGAAGAAGCACCGGCUAACUACGUGCCAGCCGCCGCAGUAAUAC
rnacentral:rRNA from 1 species